GACGAACGCUGGCGGCGUGCUUAACACAUGCAAGUCGAACGAAGUGGCGAACGGGUGAGUAACGCGUAAUCAACCUGCCCUUCAGAGGGGGACAACAGUUGGAAACGACUGCUAAUACCGCAUACUGAAGGAGGGGAUUGCGUCUGAUUAGCUAGUUGGAGGGGUAACGGCCCACCAAGGCGAUGAUCAGUAGCCGGUCUGGGAGGGUGGAUGGCCAAAUUGGGACUGAGGCACGGCCCAGAAUCCUACGGGGGGCAGCAGUGGGGAAACUUCCGCAAUUGACGAAAGUCUGACGGAGCAACGCCGCGUGAGUGAUGACGGCCUUCGGGUUGUCAAGCUCUGUUAAUCGGGACGCGGUACCGGAAUAGAAAGCCACGGCUAACUACGUGCCAGCAGCCGCGGUAAUUC
rnacentral:rRNA from 1 species